rnacentral:lncRNA from 1 species
AGGGUGGGCCCAGUUUCCAGGAAGGGCUUGGGCAGGAGGCCAGGCAGGAAGGGGCUGGGAGUUUCUGGAAGGGCAGCCUGGAGAGCCCUGGCAGGCUAGCCCAGGGCCUCACUCCACAGCCCAGCUGGCCCGCCCUUUCAGAGAUGGGGAAUCCUUGGCACUUCCUGGCACAUGCCAGGGCACCAGGGGAGGGAGGGCAGGAGGGUUCCCAGGCCCAGAACAGGGACGGAGGCGGUGGGCCACUCUUCAGGGGGCCUCCAGGAGGGGUGAGCGUGGACAGAGAGGAGAAGGUGGGUGGACUUGGAGGGGCAGUGACUGAAGGCACUCAGGUUUCACUGGGGGCCUGCCCCCCCCCCCCCCCGACUGCUGUGGGCUGGGGAGGGAGUCGUCCCACAGAAGGCACACGCUUUCAGCCAGGAGGGCACUUGGAGUAGGAGGGGACAGAGAGGAGGGCUUUAACUGGCGAUGUCAGGUUGGAAAGAUCCGCAGGUAGAGAACCCUGCUGAUGGGGGGGAAGCAGCUGCUAUGUGGGAGCCCCUUUCUCAGACUUCAGUGGCCCCCAUGACGUCUAGCCCAGGAGGCACCUCCUCCCUAUCUUAGGUUAUAGGACAGAGAUGGAAAAUAAGAGCAGUGUAAACAAUGUGGAAGUGCAUUUCUCUCUCACUACUCGUCUGGGCAUCAGCCUUUCGGGGCUGAUAUGAUGGCUCCAGGGGUUGGAAACCCAGGCUCUCUCUGCCUUGUUGCUCCAUUGUCCCCGUGUGGUCCAGGAUGGCCCAUCCGCGCGCCCGCCUCCCAGGCAGCAGGAUGGAGCAGGACAGAUGGUUCAGAGCCUACCCCACGGCUGCGCCUAAGUGAAGGGAUGUGGUCCCGUGCCUCAUUGCCAGUUCUAGGACCACAGAAAGAGAGGAGAGCAGGUAUCGGGGCAGCUGGCAGUCUACCCCACGCACCUCCAACACUCGAGCUCACCCAGGAGCCAAACUUCUCCCACUGCUGUGCCCCAAACGAGAACUUUGCUGAGUCCUGAGAGGAAGCGAGCACGGGGUCAUGGCUACAGGGACACGUGCAUGCUGCAGAACUAGUCCAGGGUCCACAGCACAGGCCAGUCGGCCCAAGCAAGGAAACAACUCCCCAGCAACCCCAUCAUACGGCCUUUGGCCUCUUGUCCCCUGGCUGGCUCCCCCUAUGCCAGCCUCAUGCACAAGGACCCUCUGAUACAGGCCCUCGCAACCUGUCUCCUCUUAGCAUCUGAGGGAACAAAAGAAUGUUGCAGACGAAGCGACUGGCAUGGGUGCAAGAGCCUAGCUGGAGCUGGAGAAGGGAAGGACGGGGCAGGUGGCCCAGCUAGGAGCCACUGCGUGAUGGACGAGAGCCCACGCUAAGGCAGGGGUGAUGGGACGGAGGAGGGAAGGGGAGGGGAGGAAGAAUAAGCCAGACUUAGGAACUGAUGCCUUGGGCGUGAAGAAUGAUCUGAGGUCUCUAUCCCAGGUGGCUGAGACCAUACAUCAUGACCCGAUGUAUCUCAUGAAGCGAACAAGGCAGCACGGGGUACGGUGCCGCGGGGAGGGUGCGGCAUUAGGGACCCAAGGGGGGAAACAGGUGAGACCCUGGCCUCGUGCCCUUACAUUCCAGCAAGGACACAGAUCGACAGUGGAUAAAAUCAUUUCCAAGAGUGAUAAGUGCUCCCCAAAAGGGGGUAUCAGAAUAAAAAAGGGCAGGCUGGUCAGGAAAGGCAUCUCGGAGGAGGUGACAAUUGGGCCAAGACGGAAAGGAGGAGAAGGAGGCGGCGGUGGGAAGGUCUGAGAGGACAGUCCAGGCACAGGGAACAGCCAGCACAGAGUUUCCCGCGCAGGAGAGGACUUGACGUGUCCAGGUUGCACGCAGAGGCAGGAUGGCUGCGACAGAGGCAGCAAGGGAAGCAGGGAGGGUCCCGGAGGAGGGCGGGGGAAGGUAGGAGAACUCUCAGCCAACCAGAACCUUUGAUUAACCAGAACCCCUCCCUUCAUGCUGGCUCACAAGGCUUUUGCCACUAAUUUGGCAAAGGAGUGAAUAAUGUGUUAAAACUCAGGUGUCUUAAAUUCUGGUUCCCCAGAAGGGCAGGAACCAUACAUCCUGGCCACCAGGGGCCAGACAAACAGCACGAGAGAUGAGUAGCAGGGAAGGAGCCCAGAACCAAAUGAAGACAGGAACCAGUGGUUGCUAAACACCAGACAGAGGGGGCUACACGGGGCCUAGAGGACGACAGGAAGAGAAGGGGGAGGAUGGGGGUGAAAGGAGAAAACUUCCAGAGGAUUCCACGUCAGAUUCUAGAUCAAGCAGGACCUUGCUGGUGGCAAGUGACAGCGACCUAACCUGAAUGGGCUUAACUGAAAUGAGUGUUAUUGACAUAAGCAGCUGAAAGACCAGACGUGGAUUAGGCCCAGACUGAGAAGGGGUCUGAGCACCGUCACUGCUGCCUGGCUCAGGCCUCUCUCUGUCCUUCAGCCUGGCUCACCUCUGAUGCUUCACUCUCCGCCUGGUGGAGAGACAGCUGCAGCAGUGCCAGCCAUUGCAUCUGCUCAGCCAUCAGGAAAUGGGGAAUGUCUCUGGUUGACUUUGGAUCAUGCCCAUCUCUGAGCCCAUUGCCGUGGGCCCACAGUGUGGGGGGCGGUUCCCAGAGGGAACGGGAUGGGUUAUCAGAAGAAGAGGGAAUGUUUGCUGGUCUACCGCGGGCUUCCAACAAACAGCCACCAAAACCACAACAUUACCACUACUACUAACGAUGACAACAAUUCUCCCACUGCGCGCUCGCUCCCGGUCAGAGCGGUCAGGCUCGCCUGUGGGCCCCCUCAGGCCUCAAACAAGCCCUCAGGGACGUGCUCUUCGCCCCCUCAGACGAAGUUGUUCAUCAAACGCCUUCUAAGGCCCGGCCUCGUCCCGGGCGUCCUGGGCCCGCAGCAGGACUUCCUGCCUUCCACACGCAUUCCAGAGAGGAACAGCUGCAGAAGCCAAGUCCGUGAAGGAAGGAAAUCCUCGCUGCUCUAACAGUCUGGAAGUCUCGGCCAGCCCAGCAGUCCGGCGCAGCCAGGAAGUGCCCCCUCCCGCCUGCUCACUGGUCGGAGGCAAACACUUUUGAGGACAGGAAGGGGAGAGGCAGUCACGGGCAAAGCAGCGAGGAGUCGCGUUGACAGCACGCACCCCGAUACGACGUGACAAGGAAGGAGCUCCACCUCUGUGAUCUUCCUCCCAAACCUCUAACCCCAGUGAAUCAUGGGAGAAACAUCAGACAGAGCCCAAGUUGAGAGAGAGUCUACAAGAUGUCUGACCAGCACUCCACAAAACUCUCAAGCUCACUGAAAAACAAGGAAAAGCGGAGAAACUGUCACCGUCCGGCAGAGUCUACGGCGACAUGACCGCUGAAUGUGACGUGGACUCCUAGAGAGGAUCCUGGCACCGAAAAAGGACACUGGGGAAAAAUGAAGGAGAUCUGAAUAAAGUAGGGAUGUGGUUCACACGAACGCAUCGACCGUGGCUCCCUCGCUGCGACAG